GAUGAACGCUGGCGAGAUGCUUUACACAUGCAAGUCGUACGAGAGUUUCAAACUCAAGUGGCGGACGGGUGAGUAACACGUAAGAAUUUACCUUUAGGAGGGGGAUACAAAUACCCCAUAUGCUUUCGAGUGAAAUGGAUUUUUCCGCCUAGAGAGAAGCUUGCGGCUGAUUAGCUUGUUGGUGAGGUAAUGGCUUACCAAGGCGACGAUCAGUAUCUGGUUUGAGAGGACGAUCAGACACACUGGAACUGAGACACGGUCCAGACUCCUACGGGAGGCAGCAGUGGGGAAUUUUCCGCAAUGGGCGAAAGCCUGACGGAGCAAUCUCGCGUGAGGGAUGACUGCCUAUGGGUUGUAAACCUCUUUUUUCAGGGAGGAAUCAAAGACGUGUACCUGAAGAAUAAGCAUCGGCUAACUCCGUGCCAGCAGCCGCGGUAAGACGGAGGAUGCAAGUGUUAUCCGGAAUCACUGGGCGUAAAGCGUCUGUAGGUGGUUUAGUAAGUCAACUGUUAAAUCUUGAAGCUCAACUUCAAAAUCGCAGUCGAAACUAUUAGACUAGAGUAUAGUAGGGGUAAAGGGAAUUUCCAGUGGAGCGGUGAAAUGCGUAGAGAUUGGAAAGAACACCGAUGGCGAAGGCACUUUACUGGGCUAUUACUGACACUCAGAGACGAAAGCUAGGGUAGCAAAUGGGAUUAGAUACCCCAGUAGUCCUAGCCGUAAACAAUGGAUACUAGAUGUUGAACAGAUCGACCUGUGCAGUGUCAAAGCUAACGCGUUAAGUAUUCCGCCUGGGAAGUAUGCUCGCAAGAGUGAAACUCAAAGGAAUUGACGGACUUU
rnacentral:rRNA from 1 species